rnacentral:rRNA from 1 species
GAUGAACGCUAGCGGGAGGCCUAACACAUGCAAGCCGAGCGGUAGAGUUUCUUCGGAAACUUGAGAGCGGCGCACGGGUGCGUAACACGUGUGCAACCUACCUUUAUCUGGGGGAUAGCCUUUCGAAAGGAAGAUUAAUACCCCAUAAUAUAAUGAUUGGCAUCAAUUAUUAUUGAAAACUCCGGUGGAUAGAGAUGGGCACGCGCAAGAUUAGAUAGUUGGUGAGGUAACGGCUCACCAAGUCAAUGAUCUUUAGGGGUCCUGAGAGGGAGAUCCCCCACACUGGUACUGAGGCACGGACCAGACUGGUACGGGAGGCAGCAGUGAGGAAUAUUAGACGAUGGGUGAGAACCUGAUCCAGCCAUCCCGCGUGAAGAAUGACGGUCCUAUGGAUUGUAAACUUCUUGUGAACAGGGAUAAACCUACCCUCGUGAGGGUAGCUGAAGGUACUGUACGAAUAAGCACCGGCUAACUCCGUG